UUUCUCCUGUUUCUCUCUCUCGGAAAUAGCUUCUUCGGUCCACAAGGAUACGCACGGAACAACAAUUGGACCCGGUUCACAAGUUCCUCCUAUGGCAACACUCUCAUAGUAGAAUAACUGCAAUGAAACAGAAGACAACCACCGACCGCACGUUGUUUCCCUUGACGAUAACGAGACACCUCCCUAACUAACCUAUCAAGCAAGAACUUCGCCCAAUUGUACUCAUGAAUAGAAUCCAUAUCCGUCAAAAGAUGAAGAAACGACGGGCUAACAUCCAGCCUUGCCGUCGGGCACAAAAGCGUCCCUAAAACGUAAAGCAAAAAAGCUCUUUUGAAAUCAUCUCCCGCUUCGGGUUGUCCCAACCUUUCUUCAAGAAACCGAACAGAAAUUCCGCGAUUCGAAGCGUUGUAUUUUAAACGCAGCUCUGCAACUAAAUCGUCAGGACCGGAGUUGACCACCUCUUUACCACUAGCAGGUAAUCCCAUUACGAGUUCGACGUCAUGAGGGUGUAACGGAAUCCGUUCACCGCAAAUCUCUAGGUUACGCCUUAUGGUGUUGAAUCGUUCUAGCAGCCAUAAGCAUAAGCUACGCCGUAAAGUUCUACAUUUAAGAUCGAGAAGACUACCAAAUCCCAUGCUUUUCACGGCUUCCU
rnacentral:lncRNA from 1 species